UCGUGCCAGCCGUCGCGGUUAGACGAAAAAUUCUAGUAGAGUAGAUGUUUGUUGUAGUUACCAUAAAAUUACUAAAGAUACCAAACUUUAUUUUAAAGGUGAAAUUUGAUAAUAGAGGAUCUAUUUCUUUAAUUAAUUUUAAGGAACUAGAAAGUUUAGAUCUAAAACCAGGAUUAGAUACCCUGUUAUUCUAAAUGAGAGUUUAAAUAGGGUAGUAAAAGCUGUUCUUCAAACCCAAAGAUUUUGGCGGCAUUUCAUCCUAAUAGAGGAGCUUGUCCUGUAAUUGAUAAUCCUCGUUUAAUCUUACCCUUUUUUGUAGAGCUUGUAUACCGCCGUUGUCAGAUUACUUCUAAAGAAUGUUUUCAAGAAAAUUUUUUUUUCUUACUUCAGGUCAAGGUGCAGUUUAUGGAAGGGCAGUGAUGAGCUACAAUUUAUACUAAAAAUACGGAUACUAGAUUUUAAUAUUGGUGGAAGGUGGAUUUAUUAGUAAGUUUACUUAAGUAUAGUAAAUUGAAUAAGGCAAUGAGAUGUGCACAUAUCGCCCGUCACUCUCUUCUUAAGAGGA
rnacentral:rRNA from 1 species